rnacentral:rRNA from 1 species
AGACCCGAAACCCGGUGAUCUAGCCAUGGGCAGGUUGAAGGUUGGGUAACACUAACUGGAGGACCGAACCGACUAAUGUUGAAAAAUUAGCGGAUGACCUGUGGCUGGGGGUGAAAGGCCAAUCAAACCGGGAGAUAGCUGGUUCUCCCCGAAAGCUAUUUAGGUAGCGCCUCGUGAAUUCAUCUCCGGGGGUAGAGCACUGUUUCGGCUAGGGGGCCAUCCCGGCUUACCAACCCGAUGCAAACUGCGAAUACCGGAGAAUGUUAUCACGGGAGACACACGGCGGGUGCUAACGUCCGUCGUGAAGAGGGAAACAACCCAGACCGCCAGCUAAGGUCCCAAAGUCAUGGUUAAGUGGGAAACGAUGUGGGAAGGCCCAGACA